AUGCAAGUCGAGCGAUGAAACACCUUCGGGUGUGAAUUAGCGGCGAACGGGUGAGGAACACGUGAAGAAUCUGCCUUCAACUCUGGGAUAACUCCGGGAAACCGGGGCUAAUACCGGAUAUGAGCCUUGAUCGCAUGAUCGGGGCUGGAAAGUUUUUCGGUUGAAGAUGACUUCGCGGCCUAUCAGCUUGUCGGUGAGGUAAUGGCUCACCAAGGCGACGACGGGUAGCCGGCCUGAGAGGGCGACCGGCCACACUGGGACUGAGACACGGCCCAGACUCCUACGGGAGGCAGCAGUGGGGAAUAUUGGGCAAUGGAGGAAACUCUGACCCAGCGACGCCGCGUGAGGGAUGAAGGCCUUCGGGUUGUAAACCUCUUUCAGUAGGGAAGAAGCGAAAGUGACGGUACCUACAGAAGAAGCACCGGCUAACUAUGUGCCAGCAGCCGCGGUAAUACAUAGGGUGCAAGCGUUGUCCGGAAUUAUUGGGCGUAAAGAGCUCGUAGGUGGUUCGAUACGUCGGAUGUGAAAAUCAGGGGCUAACCCCUGACCUGCAUCCGAUACGGUCGAGCUAGAGUUUGGUAGGGGAGACUGGAAUUCCUGGUGUAGCGGUGGAAUGCGCAGAUAUCAGGAGGAACACCGAUGGCGAAGGCAGGUCUCUGGGCCAAUACUGACACUGAGGAGCGAAAGCGUGGGGAGCGAACAGGAUUAGAUACCCUGGUAGUCCACGCCGUAAACGGUGGGCGCUAGUUGUGCGAACCUUCCACGGUUUGUGCGACGCAGCUAACGCAUUAAGCGCCCCGCCUGGGGAGUACGAUCGCAAGAUUAAAACUCAAAGGAAUUGACGGGGCCCCGCACAAGCAGCGGAGCAUGCGGCUUAAUUCGACGCAGCGCGAAGAACCUUACCCAGGCUUGACAUAUACAGGAAUAUGGCAGAGAUGUCAUAGCCGCAAGGUCUGUAU
rnacentral:rRNA from 1 species